CUUGAACGCUUACGGCGGGCCUAACACAUGCAAGUCGAACGAGUUGCUGACGGGUGAGUCAUGUCUGGGAACCUUCCCGAUGGAGGGGGAUAACUACUUGAAACGGUAGCUAAUACCGCAUACCAUCGCCUGUGCCCAGAGGGGGUUAGCUAGUAGGUGGGGUAACGGCUCACCUAGGCGACGAUCCCUAGCUGGUCUGAGAGGAUGACCGGCCACACGGGAGCGGAGACACGGUCCAGACUCCUACGGGAGGCAGCAGUGGGGAAUAUUGCAGAAUGGGCGCAAGCCUGACGGAGCCAUGACGCGGGUAUGAAGAAGGCCUUCGGGGUGGAAAGGACUGGCAGCGAGGAGGCGUUACUGGCAGAAGAAGAACCGGCUAACUCCGUGCCAGCAGCCGCGGUAAUAC
rnacentral:rRNA from 1 species